rnacentral:rRNA from 1 species
GAUCCUGGCUCAGAUUGAACGCUGGCGGCAGGCCUAACACAUGCAAGUCGAACGGUAACAGGAAGCAGCUUGCUGCUUUGCUGACGAGUGGCGGACGGGUGAGUAAUGUCUGGGAAACUGCCUGAUGGAGGGGGAUAACUACUGGAAACGGUAGCUAAUACCACAUAACGUCGCAAGACCAAAGAGGGGGACCUUAGGGUCUCUUGCCAUCGGAUGUGCCCAGAUGGGAUUAGCUAGUAGGG